ACAAAAAAAUUUAAAAAAUAUAGAUUUUGCUAAUUCAACAUCCGCUCUCAAAUUAGGUGUGCUAUCAAAUUCUAUACUAUCCUCACUUAAACUCAUUUUGUCUAGUAGGUAACUUGUUUAUAAAUAAUUUAAAAAGAACAGUCAAUUCGCGCCUUUUAAUAAUAUGAAGAAAAAAAAACUCCGAAUGAUGC